rnacentral:lncRNA from 1 species
AAGCCUUUACUUUAUAAAUUAAUAUUGUCUCAAUAGCGAGCAGCCGGGCUUAGUAACUUGAGCCUGUAACUCAAGUGAGGGCUAUAGGAUGGUUGAAGGGUUGGUUUGGUCCAGAUGGUUGGGCUAGUUUGGUUUAAUGCAUGGCCUGCCCAUUCAAGUGAGGAGUUUAACCAUGGGUUCUGAGCGAAGGCUCAGAGCUCUCGGUCACUAUAGUGGAGGGUACUGCGCUAGGCUGGUUUCACAGAGCAGCGACCACUUCCCUCUCCUUUCGGUGGAAGGAUUACAGGCCGGUAAUCAGCUACUCCCAUCAAAUAAACCUGAUGGGCCUCCCAAUUCAACAACCAUCUUUUUCCCUAAUCAUGUCUAUUUUUUGUUUUGGGAAAGUAAACUAUCUAUUUCCUUUAAUGUGAUGUCUAUUUUUUGUUUGGGUAAUUUAUUUAAUAUGCUAAUUAAUUAAAUUAUUUAGUUAUAAAAAGCGGUUCACUAAUUAUUAUGUAAACUUGGGCAUGUAUGACAUUAAUUAUGAGCCAAUGGAAUGAAAGGAGUGAAAUCCAAAAAAGUAGGAGCAAAGUAAGGUCCAAGUUGCUUAUUUUUAUUUACGAAAGCUUAAGCUAAUUUAAUCUCAACUUUAUUACUCAGUCCAUAAUAGCAGCCCAAACUCUUGAUACUAAUUGUGUACUUAUGACUAGACUUGGCAAUAUAGUUGGUUAACUAUCAGGUCAACCCAUAUUAAUUGGUAUCAAAUGGGUUGGUUAACUACUUUUAUGGGUUAAUUACAUAUUUUAGUACAUUUUUAGAAAUAAUUACAAUAAUAGUGCAUCCAUAAAAUAAUUACAAAAGUAAUACACUUUUCCAUAAUUAUUUAUAAUAUUAGCAAUUAGGAUUCCUUAAUUUAGGAAAUUAGUAUGCAAUUAGGAUUCCUUAAUUUAGAGGAUUAAUAUAGAUUUACUUUCUCUCUCCACUUGUUUUCGUUUCUUUAAUUCAAAGACUGUAACAUUCAAACUCUCCAUCACUGGUGCAGUUAUGUUAAGGUUGUGCGCCAUGGACACAGUCAAAGCUUUCUAUCCUUUUUCUCACAAAGGCCCCCAUUGAGUAUUCUCUAUAGCAGUUCUUUGUCACUGAAAACCAUGGCGGCCUCUCGACAUCUUCAAUCUGGAAAUAUGAGUUGCCCCAUCCAUAGUUGUCACCCCUUUUUGCCUUUUGAGGCAAAGUGAACUCUUCAAAUUGUUGAUAGUGGUGGAGAAUACUUUUGAAGUAGUUUUUCAUACUAUACUACUACAGCGGAGGCCUGUAGAUUUAGUGGAAAAGCACCAGUAUACAGAGAGAGAAAGUGACAGUGAUGUGAAGGCUGUGCCAGUAGAAUCGGAUGACGAUGGUGGGAGAUCUGUUGGGGAAUUAUUGGGAACGAAUCAGGUUGAAGUGGACAAGAAAGAGGAUGAUAGAUUAAAUAAUGGUGAGGUUUAAAUAAUGGUGGACGAGAAAGAGGAACGAAUCAGGUUGAAGUGGACAAGAAAGAGGAUGAUUAAGUGUGUUAGCUCUUUAAACUUUGACACAAUUGUUCUGUUUCUGAAAAGUGGUAUUACCUACAGUUUUUUCAUAGUGCAGUUGGUAGCCAAUCAUUCAUACCAAGGUAACCAAUUCAGUGUUAUUAAGUUACAAAUUUAUUUUGAAUAUGAUGUAGUUGGUAGCCAAAUCUUCAUGCAGUGGGUAGCCAAACCUUCAUACCAAGGUAACCAAUUCAGUUUUAUUAAGUUACCAAUUUAUUUUGAAUAUUAUGCAGUUGGUUGCCAAACUUUCAGACCAAGGUAACCAAUUCAUACUAUAGGUGUGGAGGUAGAUUGGUUACCUUGGUAUAAAGGUUUAGUUACCUUGGUAUAAAAAUUUGGUUACCUUUUUAAGAAAGUUUGGUUAUCAACAUUACAUUACACAUCACUCUCUUAUCUCUCUCUUUUCUAUGCAAUGUUCUUAUUUUCUUUUGGACAUGAAAUUGGAAUUGAAAUUUUCGGACAUGAAUAAAUUGUGAAAAAUCAAAUAUUCACCUCCUUUCUACAUCUCAUCGACCAUUUUGUGGCUCUGUCUCACCGGCGAAGGGGAGGAGGAAGAUGACCGGCGAAGGGGAAGAGGAAGAUGAUGUUGCCAAACUUUGAAUAUUUGAAUUUGAAUUUGUUUUUGUUGUUAGAUCUAAGAUAUUUAAAUUUGAAUUAUUAAUUAUGACAGUUAUUUCUCCUUGAUUUUAGGUUUCUUUAUUAUUGUGAAUUGAAUCCUAUACUAAUUCCCUAAAUUAAGGAAUCCUAAUUGCACUUAUAUUAUAAAUAAAUAUGAAAAAAUGUAUUAUUUUUGUAAUUAUUUUGUGCAUGCACUAAUAGUGUAAUUACUUACUAAAUAUUGUAUAUUAUUGUAAAGGACCCAAAUUAUUUUUUGGCAAAAAUUGACCCACAUAUUGGUCUCUUUGGAUCCAAAUGUCAUAGAGAAAUAAAGUAAGACAAAAUAAAAAAUAAAAAAAAUCCUUAUGUUGACAUACAAAUUUGAUAAAUAAGAACAGAAAAUUGUAUAUUCUCUCACUUCCCAUAAAAAUAUCUCCUCUUCAAAAUUAAAACUCCCUCAAACAGGUUUUGAUUAUAACGAAAAUGUAUUUAGCCUUUGUCAAUACUGCAAAUUAAGGAGAUGUAUUUAAUUAAGAUUUUUAAUGACUUUUUUUAAGUGACAGACUUUUAUAGAGUUUGUAAAUUUUAAUAACUUUUAAAGACUUUAAAGACUUUUUAAAAAUGACUUUUAUAGACUCCAUGAAAUAAGUGACAGAUUUUAAUAGACAUUUGUAUAUUUCUCAUAUAUCUUGUAGCUUAUAUUAAUUGUUAAUUAGCCCAUGUGUACAACCUCUCACUCUUUUUUCAUGAACUAGAGGAAAUCUCAUUAUUUCAUUAAAUUAUUAUGGCAUGAGAUUUUAUAUAUGUUGAAAGCAUUCAUACUAUUCUACUCAUUUCAUGAUAAAUUUGGAUACUCGAAUACGAAUAAAACUUUAGAAGCUACAAACUCAACACAAAAAUUAAGCUCACUUUUCAUUGAACUAUAUAUGCGUACAAUUUUUUAGUAGGAGUACCAAACUCUAUUUUUCACAAAAUAAUAUGACAAAGAAAUUCUAUAUGAUCGCAAAACUUCAUACAUGUGAGUAAAUUGACACCAAAUUUUAAAAAAUUUACCAGAUAGUUUUUUGUCGUCGGUAAGCCACAAACAAAAUUGUCAGAGAGAUUUAAUUUUUCUUAAAAUUAUUAAUAGUUGUUAGUGAACCAAAAUUGACCGUUAAAAAAAUAA